rnacentral:rRNA from 1 species
CCUACGGGAGGCUGCAGUGGGGAAUAUUGGACAAUGGGCGAAAGCCUGAUCCAGCCAUGCCGCGUGUGUGAAGAAGGCCUUCGGGUUGUAAAGCACUUUCAGUGGGGAAGAAAGCCUUGGGGCUAAUACCCUCGAGGAAGGACAUCACCCACAGAAGAAGCACCGGCUGAACUCCGUGCCAGCAGCCGCGGUAAUACGGAGGGUGCGAGCGUUAAUCGGAAUUACUGGGCGUAAAGCGCGCGUAGGCGGUCUGAUAAGCCGGUUGUGAAAGCCCCGGGCUCAACCUGGGAACGGCAUCCGGAACUGUCAGGCUAGAGUGCAGGAGAGGAAGGUAGAAUUCCCGGUGUAGCGGUGAAAUGCGUAGAGAUCGGGAGGAAUACCAGUGGCGAAGGCGGCCUUCUGGACUGACACUGACGCUGAGGUGCGAAAGCGUGGGUAGCAAACAGGAUUAGAUACCCUGGUAGUC